UUAUUUAUUUAUUUACAGUAUUUAUAUUCCGCCCUUCUCACCCCAAGGGGACUCAGGGCAGAUCACAUUAUACACACAUAGGGCAAACAUUCAAUGCCCAUAAACACAUCAAACAGAGACAGACAGACGCAGAGGCAAUUUAACCUUCUCCUGAGGGGAUGUUCGAUUCUGGCCACAGGGGGAGCAGUUGCUUCAUCAUCCACUCUGACGGCACUUCCUCAUUCCAAGUCAUAAAUUAGUUAAACUUGCCUCCCCACUUUUAUAAGUGGUACCUUAUUUCCUACUUGAUAGAUGCAACUAUCUUUCGGAUUGCUAGGUCAGCAACGAGCAGGGACUAUUUUUAUUUUUAAUUGAUGGGUGCUCACCCCGCCACGGGCUGACCUCGAACACAUGACCUCAUGGUCAGAGUGAUUUAUUGCAGCAGGCUGCUCAACAGCCUGCGCCACAGCCAGGCCCCCACUAAAUGGAAAAAAGAGGGCUUUAUGUAUUGUUGAUAAAGCUUGACAAUAUAUUUGAAAUGGAAUAAUCCCUUUAUAAGGUCUGAGCACUUCCUGCUACUACUGCAGCAAUUUCUGCUCCAAGAUUGGGUCCAAAGCAGUGAGGCAGCAGUUAGGGAUGUGUUUUAUGACCUCUUUUGCCGGCAGUUGCUGACAAAAGGGAAGGCGCGUGGGGCAGCUCGUGGUGCCCCGUGUGCCUUUCCUCCUUACCUAUAGCUACUUGCUAUUAAAUAUUGCUUCAGAUUCUUGAAAAGUGGCUGGUUUCUAUGCUGUAUUCCUUGAUAUGUAAUUACUUAGGAUUGCAUGCCUGGCAAAUUAACGCAAGAAAUGAUUUCAUGUGAAAUAAUUCUGAGAUUCUUUUUUUCCUGUGUCAGGAGCAACUUGAGUUGCUUCUGGAGUGAGAGAAUUGGCCGUCUGCAAGGACGUUGCCCAGGGGACGUCCAGAUGUUUUGAUGUUUUUACCAUCCUUGUGGGAGGCUUCUCUCAUGUCCCCGCAUGGAUGAUAAAAACAUCAAAACAUCUGGGCAUCCACUGGGCAACGUCCUUGCAGAUGGCCAGUUCUCUCACAACAAAAGCGACUUGCAGUUUCUCAAGUGUUUUCUGACAUGGAAAAAAAAUAGAAUCACACAUUCACUCCUUGAGCUCCCUCCAAAUACCAAAUUGUGUUUCAAAUUAUAUUUCUUCGGAGAAUCAGUUUUGUUCUGCUGCUCAUUUUGGAUUGUAGCCAUGUCCUACUGAUAUUUAAAAACAUCCUGGGGAAUAAUAGAAAAGUAACAUUUCCUCUCAUAAAAAAAUGUGUAAAUAAAUAAGGCAUCAUUAAUUGGCAAAAGGAAAAGUUCUUACAAAGAAGGCCCACAUGAGGUAGAAGAUGCCUCCUACCCACCCUGAAUGGCACAUAUCUUUCUCAAAACCAGCCAAGUUAUUCUGGCACACAAAGCAGGAAAUCCCACAAGUACCUCUCCUUAUCUCUGGCAAUAAAAAUACAGGGGUAAUGAAUUAAAUAGAAAAAAAAGAUAAUUUGCUGAUUUCUCAUAGCAAACCUGUUUAAAAAUAUAUGUGUAUUAAGAGAAUUCUAGAGAACUUGCAUGGUGUAGUGGUUAGACCACGGUUCAAAUACCUACUUCGCCUUGUAAAUCAAUAUGAUCUUUGGAAAGUUACCCUCUCUCAGUUUCAGGAGAUGGUGAUGCAAGCCUCCCUCUCUGGAUUGAUUUUUGCCAAUAAAGCCUUAGAGCAACCAUGGACAAACUUCAGUCUUCCAAGUGUUUUGGACUUCAACUUCCACAAUUCCUAACAGCCAGUAAGCUGGCUGGGAUUUCUGAGAGUUGAAAGGCAGGCAUCGGCCAAAGUUUGCCCAUGCCUGCCUUAGAGUCAACAUAUGUUGCAUGAGUGAUCACUUGUGAUCGA
ensembl:lncRNA